rnacentral:rRNA from 1 species
UGGGGAAUCUUGCACAAUGGGCGAAAGCCUGAUGCAGCGACGCCGCGUGCGGGAUGAAGGCCUUCGGGUUGUAAACCGCUUUCAGCAGGGACGAGGCCGCAAGGUGACGGUACCUGCAGAAGAAGCCCCGGCUAACUACGUGCCAGCAGCCGCGGUAAUACGUAGGGGGCAAGCGUUGUCCGGAAUUAUUGGGCGUAAAGGGUACGUAGGCGGUCUAUUAAGUCAGGUGUGAAAGCGUGAGGCUUAACCUCAUUAAGCACUUGAAACUGAUAGACUUGAGUGAAGGAGAGGAAAGUGGAAUUCCUAGUGUAGCGGUGAAAUGCGUAGAUAUUAGGAGGAAUACCGGUGGCGAAGGCGACUUUCUGGACUUUUACUGACGCUCAGGUACGAAAGCGUGGGGAGCAAACAGG